GUUCUAUUAUUUGCAGUCAGUAACAAAGAUUCAUCCCUGUGUUCAUUAUGCAACAAAGAGAAUCUUCAUUACCUAGUGUAAUUAAUAGCUGGA
ensembl:miRNA